GGGUUGUGAGGUUAAGCGACUAAGCGUACACGGUGGAUGCCCUGGCAGUCAGAGGCGAUGAAGGACGUGCUAAUCUGCGAAAAGCGUCGGUAAGGUGAUAUGAACCGUUAUAACCGGCGAUGUCCGAAUGGGGAAACCCAGUGUGAUUCGUCACACUAUCGUUAACUGAAUACAUAGGUUAACGAGGCGAACCGGGGGAACUGAAACAUCUAAGUACCCCGAGGAAAAGAAAUCAACCGAGAUUCCCCCAGUAGCGGCGAGCGAACGGGGAGCAGCCCAGAGUCUGAAUCAGCUUGUGUGUUAGUGGAACGGUCUGGAAAGUCCGACGGUACAGGGUGAUAGUCCCGUACACCAAAAUGCACAGGUUGUGAACUCGAAGAGUAGGGCGGGACACGUGGUAUCCUGUCUGAAUAUGGGGGGACCAUCCUCCAAGGCUAAAUACUCCUGACUGACCGAUAGUGAACCAGUACCGUGAGGGAAAGGCGAAAA
rnacentral:rRNA from 1 species